GCACUUUCUUUGGCAACACAUAUACUAAAAUUGGAACAAUACAGAGAUUAGCCUGGCCCCUGUGCAGGGAUGACAUGCAACUUCGUGAAUGCGUUCCAUGUUAA
rnacentral:snRNA from 1 species